rnacentral:rRNA from 1 species
GAUGAACGCUGGCGGCGUGCCUAAUACAUGCAAGUCGAGCGAACGGACGCUUAGCUUUCUUCUCUGAUGUUAGCGGCUUACGUGUGAGUAACACUUGGUUAACCUACCUAUAAUUCUGGUAUAACUUCGUGAAACCGGAUCUAAUACCGUCUAAUAUUUUGAACCGCAUUUUUCAAAAGUUAAAUACGUUCUUUCUGUCUCUUAUAUAUUUUUCCGCGCUGCAUUAGCUAGUUGGUAAGGUAACGGCUUACCAAGGCAACGAUGCAUAGCCGACCUGAGAGGGGGAUCGGCCACACUGGAACUGAGACACGGUCCAGACUCCUACGGGAGGCAGCAGUAGGGAAUCUUCCGCAAUGGGCGAAAGCCUGACGGAGCAACGCCGCGUGAGUGAUGAAGGUCUUCGGAUCGUAAAACUCUGUUAUUAGGGAAGAACAUAUGUGUAAGUAACUGUGCACAUCUUGACGGUACCUAAUCAGAAAGCCACGGCUAACUACGUG